CUUUUUUCCUCGAGUGAUGUC
rnacentral:siRNA from 1 species